rnacentral:miRNA from 1 species
UGUAUAUAUGUGUGUGUGUGUGUGUGUGUGUGUGUGUGUAUAUAUACACACACACACACACACUAUAUAUAUAUA